rnacentral:lncRNA from 1 species
UUAUUACUACUUUAAUUCUAGUUCUAAUAUAAUUCCUAGUACAAUUUGUGUUAAUGUGCAAGCAAACAGUUGCAUGCAAAGUUGCAUUUUGUUUUAAUGUGCCACAUAUUUCCUUUCCAGCUAGCUUUAGCAAAGAUGUUAGAAAGGAAAAAAUAACUUCAACUUUUUUGGUUUCACAUUUGUUCUUACAAUGCACUAAAAAUAAACUAAAACAACCGUGGUGAUUAACAAGGGAGAAUAUUGUGCUAUAUUUAGUUAGUGAUCCGCAAAUGAAGACUUUGCAAAAGAAAUAUAUAGCAGCUAUUAUGAUUUAUGCUGAUUUGUCAAAAAACCUACCACCAA